rnacentral:rRNA from 1 species
AGUGAACGCUGGCGGUAGGCCUAACACAUGCAAGUCGAACGGCAGCACAGUAGGAGCUUGCUCUUACGGGUGGCGAGUGGCGGACGGGUGAGGAAUACAUCGGAAUCUACUUUUUCGUGGGGGAUAACGUAGGGAAACUUACGCUAAUACCGCAUACGACCUACGGGUGAAAGCAGGGGAUCUUCGGACCUUGCGCGAUUGAAUGAGCCGAUGUCGGAUUAGCUAGUUGGCGGGGUAAAGGCCCACCAAGGCGACGAUCCGUAGCUGGUCUGAGAGGAUGAUCAGCCACACUGGAACUGAGACACGGUCCAGACUCCUACGGGAGGCAGCAGUGGGGAAUAUUGGACAAUGGGCGCAAGCCUGAUCCAGCCAUACCGCGCGGGUGAAGAAGGCCUUCGGGUUGUAAAGCCCUUUUGUUGGGAAAGAAAAGCAGCAGGUUAAUACCCCGCUGUUCUGACGGUACCCAAAGAAUAAGCACCGGCUAACUUCGUG